UCAGAUGUGAAAUCCCCGGGCUUAACCUGGGAACUGCAUUUGAAACUGGUCAACUAGAGUAUGGUAGAGGAAAGUGGAAUUUCUGGUGUAGCGGUGAAAUGCGUAGAUAUCAGAAGGAACAUCAAUGGCGAAGGCAGCUUUCUGGACCAAUACUGACGCUGAGGUACGAAAGCGUGGGUAGCAAACAGGAUUAGAUACCCUGGUAGUCCACGCCGUAAACGAUGAUAACUAGCCGUUGGGGGGAUUUACCCUUUAGUGGCGAAGCUAACGCGUUAAGUUAUCCGCCUGGGGAGUACGGCCGCAAGGUUAAAACUCAAAUGAAUUGACGG
rnacentral:rRNA from 1 species